rnacentral:rRNA from 1 species
GUUGAAAAAUUAGCGGAUGACUUGUGGCUGGGGGUGAAAGGCCAAUCAAACCGGGAGAUAGCUGGUUCUCCCCGAAAGCUAUUUAGGUAGCGCCUCGUGAAUUCAUCUCCGGGGGUAGAGCACUGUUUCGGCAAGGGGGUCAUCCCGACUUACCAACCCGAUGCAAACUGCGAAUACCGGAGAAUGUUAUCACGGGAGACACACGGCGGGUGCUAACGUCCGUCGUGAAGAGGGAAACAACCCAGACCGCCAGCUAAGGUCCCAAAGUCAUGGUUAAGUGGGAAACGAUGUGGGAAGGCCCAGACAGCCAGGAUGUUGGCUUAGAAGCAGCCAUCAUUUAAAGAAAGCGUAAUAGCUCACUGGUCGAGUCGGCCUGCGCGGAAGAUGUAACGGGGCUAAACC